AGCCCUCUGGUGUAAUGGCAGCACAGCGGCCUUUGGAGCCGUUAGUCCAGGUUCGAAUCCUGGGGGGGCUA
rnacentral:tRNA from 1 species